GUAGGCCUUCGCCUGCUCGCGAUAGCGGUCUGCCAGUCAGCCUUUUCAGAGACUGAUACACCGCUAUCGCGAGCAGGCGAAGGCCUAC
rnacentral:misc_RNA from 1 species